GAUGAACGCUGGCGGCGUGCCUAACACAUGCAAGUCGAACGGAGUCCAGCCUUUAAGACCUUCGGGUCAAAGAGGGGAAGACUGAGUGGCGGACGGGUGAGUAACACGUGGGCAACCUGGCUCAUAGAGGGGGAUAACAGAGAGAAAUUUCUGCUAAUACCGCAUAAGCACACACUGCCGCAUGGCAGAGGGUGAAAAGAGAAUCGCUAUGAGAUGGACCCGCGUCUGAUUAGCCAGUUGGCAGGGUAAGAGCCCACCAAAGCGACGAUCAGUAGCCGAUCGGAGAGGAUGAACGGCCACAUUGGGACUGAGACACGGCCCAAACUCCUACGGGAGGCAGCAGUGGGGGAUAUUGCACAAUGGGGGGAACCCUGAUGCAGCGACGCCGCGUGAGUGAAGAAGUAUUUCGGUAUGUAAAGCUCUAUCAGCAGGGAAGAUAAUGACAGUACCUGAAUAAGAAGCCCCGGCUAACUACGUG
rnacentral:rRNA from 1 species